rnacentral:rRNA from 1 species
UGGGGAAUAUUGCACAAUGGGCGAAAGCCUGAUGCAGCGACGCCGCGUGAGGGAUUACGGCCUUCGGGUUGUAAACCUCUUUCAGUAGGGACGAAGCGCAAGUGACGGUACCUGCAGAAGAAGCACCGGCUAACUACGUGCCAGCAGCCGCGGUAAUACGUAGGGUGCGAGCGUUGUCCGGAAUUACUGGGCGUAAAGAGCUCGUAGGCGGUUUGUCACGUCGUCUGUGAAAUCCUAGGGCUUAACCCUGGACGUGCAGGCGAUACGGGCUGACUUGAGUACUACAGGGGAGACUGGAAUUUCUGGUGUAGCGGUGGAAUGCACAGAUAUCAGGAAGAACACCGAUGGCGAAGGCAGGUCUCUGGGUAGUAACUGACGUUGAGGAGCGAAAGCAUGGGUAGCGAACAGG